AGAAAAAAAAAAGAAAAAAAAACCACAACGGGAAUUUGGAGAGAAAAGGGGAAAAAAUAAUAAUAAUAAUAAUCCAAGGCUUCCUGCUGAAGAUGCAACGCGACUGAGUCUUUUUCUUUUCACCCUAUUUUUUUUCUUUUGGGGGGGGUCUCCCGCCCCUUUUUCCCCCCCAUUUUUGCCGUUCUCUGCUGUGGGCCAGCGUGGAGGAUGGACGGGGCCAUCGGAGUGUGGUGCUUCCCCCCCCCCCGCCCUGUCCUUGUCACCACCCCUGCCCGCCUGCUCCUUCCCGUGGGACCCUCCAUCCGGACACACCGGUUUUCUCCUUUGACAAGAUUUCCCCUCUUCUCAUGGACUGUGCCGCCAUUUGUGUUUCAGAAUAUAUAUAUAUAUGUAUAUACCCACGUAUACAUAUAUGUAUAUGGAUAGAUAUAUAGAUCUUCAACAGUUACCACGCCGCCACGAAGGGAAAGGGAGGAAGGAGACCGGCGUCGAGCCACGCUUUCAUCGUACCAUCCGCGGACAUCGUGAAUGAUAAGGGAUUCUGAGUCAUGGUUAAUUUUAUUAAUUGUAUUUUCUGAUACGAGCCUAGAACUCUUAGUUCCUAAAAAACAGAAAUGCAAAAAAAAAAAAAAAAAAAGGAGGGGGAGAAAAAAAAGAGAGAGAGGAAAAAAAAAAAAAAGCAACAACAAAAAACAAUCCAGGAGAGUGGGAGCAAGUGGAGAGAAGAAGUUUGUUUGCCGAGGAGGCAACCGGCCGAGGAGGUUUGUGAGCCCGGCGAGGAGGAGGAAGAGGAGGAGUCCUGUGCUGAAACCCCCCAAAACCGGCCCAAAAAGCGGUCGUCCGGACAGUUCCUGCCGAGGGCACGGGCGACGCGUCGAGGCGGAGGGAGACGCCGAAUCUUUUUAUGGGAUAUAUAUAUACAGUAUAUAUAAAUAUACAUAUAUAUAUAUAUAAUUUUUUUUUUUUUUUUUGUUAGAGUUCUAGCCACGGUUCCCAGCAGGGUCCUUCCGCUGCCAUUACUGCAUGCUGUAUAUGGAGUUAGGUGUGUAUCGGUCCUCAACGAGACGAGGCGAGCGUCUCAGUCCACGCGUCCCCAAACCCCCUCAUCUUUCCGCCCUCGGGGACAAAGGGUGGCGGGGGGACCGGGGCCCCCUCUCCGUCGCUUUUUGCCGCAUGGCCCCGGCCUCUUGGCGGCGGAAUGGAGCGAACCGAGGGACAGAGGGAGAUCUAUAUAGCUCAGUUUUAUAUUUUUUUAUAUAUAUAUAUAUAUGUGUAUGUAUAUGUGUGUGUGUGCGCGUGCGUGUGUGUGUAUAUAUAUAUAUAUAUAUAUAAAAAAUAACACUAGUAAGGAAAAGAAGGUGAAGCAACCGGCUCCUGGCCGAGCCCUCUGCCGAGAUGUGGGACUGGUCGACUCGCCGCCCGUGUCGGUGGGGGGUCUCUCCUGCGGUCGGUUUUCCUCCUUCCAUUUCCUUUCCUUCCCUGCGGCCGGCGGCGGGGGGCACGCGGGGGCAGGCGGGCGGCGAGGGGGCUCUCUCUGCCUAUCCAUUAAAACGAUUGUUCCAUGUGGCCGCUCCGUCUGGUUGUGGUGCUCAUUGCCGCGGGGGCCAGGGCCACCCCGCGUCCUCCCCUCGCGCCACCGGGAACGGGGAGGGGCGUGGGAAGGGAUGCUGGGAGGGGGUGACAGAUGGGGGCACUGAGACAUCACAGUGGGCUGGGAGAGCGUUGGAAAGGUGGCACCUGGACCUCGCCGGUGAGCCCAUCGGGAGUGCUGUCACUUACCCACAGGUAAGGCUUUGGUGAGUAGAUGGAGAAGGUGUGAGGCACAGCUGUGCCCUGUUCCCCCAGUCAGGACCCUGUUCAGUGUCCCAAAAGCUCAUUGUUUGGCUCUCUGCCCCAGCAGCACAUCGUUGCAGGGGAUGUUCGUGGAGCAGCCGAAGCGAAUCCCGCGUGGGAAGGAGAGACAGCCAUGUGAGGUGGGUGUAGGAAACCAGGUUGCUCGUGAAACACUGUACAGGCAAAGCAUGGCAGGACAGAGUUUGGGUGUAGGUGAAACUUGCUGUCUCCAGGGGCUUGUCUUGGUCGGUGUCUUGGUGUUUUGGUGAUUUGCAGGUUGCUUAAUGCAUUUGGUCCUCAGCCUCGGGGUGGCCGGCUGCUUCAAACCAUCCAGCACAUUUGUAGGAUCAGAAGUUGAUUGUUAGUGAUGGCAGGACAGUUUUGUGUGGGUUUUUUAUUUCUUGACCCUACGAUAAGUUUGUGCCACCCAGGAGAUGAGCAGGGAGAAGAGGGAGAGAGCAAAAGGGAUGGAAAGGAGUUGCCUCGAGGUGUGACGUGCAGUGUCCGAGCGAUACCGGUGAGGGGUGAGAGAUCAAGGAGUGUCCAGUGCCAGAGUAGCAGACAGAGGAUGUUAGAGAGAGGCGGCUCGAAGGAUGUGUUUUAUGUAUUUAUUUAUUGACAUAGGUAAGGAUUUCUUGGUGGUGGGGAUGGAGGUUAUGGCCUGAAAUAUGCUCUCCAUCCCUCUGGAUGUAGCAGCUGAGGUCCUUGUCCUUAGGUACAGGUUGGACAUUGCUGAGGGCCAUGGAGAAACAUCCCCCUCAACCCCGGAAAGGGAGAUGGGGGGUAUCCAUGGCUGGGCUCGCAGUGGAAAGGGGCUGCAUCUCCUUCCUGGUGCGCAGUGAUGGGGAGAGUGCAGACAGGGCACUAGGAUGUGCCAUGAGCCAGAGUGUUUGGCCAUCUGUAGGUGUUUCACUCCAGUGGAGGCAGGUCCAGCACCAGGUACCCAGCAGAACCAGCAUUUUAAGAUGAGAAGCAUCAGGGAGGCCCAAAUUGUGGUGGGAUCCCCAGGUGCCACAUGCCAGAGGCCAGUGUUGCUUUGUGGCACCAGGAUUUAUAUUGCAUCAACCUUGGCUCCCUGAUUGGUUGGUUUUUUUGGAAGAGGCUCAAAGCACAGUGUUUCCCACGGUGGUCACCCAUGCUUGACUCACUGCAGGUAACAUUGAGGAGAGCAGGCAGGGUCGUUUGCCCCUCCCACAUCCCUUUCUUGGGGAGGCCAUUGGGUUUUGGGAAGCACUUACCUUUCUGCAGGGGUCACUUGAGGGGGCCAGCAGAGGUGUCCCUGAUGUGUGAGGUUGCAGUACUCAUGGUGCUGGGAUGGAGCUGUUUGCUCAGCAGGGCAGCUUCUUGUGGGGUUCAGGGAUAAACUUUCAGGACUGGGCUUUUCGUUCUCAUGUCGAGGCAGGUGAAGGGAGGUCUCAAAGCGUGUGAGACCCUGAAAGGUCUGGCACAGUCCCACAACCUCCAGUCUCCUGGCAGCAGGUCUCAUAUUAGAGGAGCUGGUUGAAUGUUUUUUCACAGCUGAUGUGGUGGAAAGGUGGGGAAAGUUGAUGGGGUGGAACAGAAUCUCCUGGGUGCAGGGAGCACAGCCUGCCUCCCCAGCCCUGUGGUUUUAGGAUGAGACUACAGUCAUGUCAGGAAGAUGCUGAGGGUCACAGCUUCUUCUGGUCCUGGUCCUUGCCAUCUCUGUCCUUUGAUGAAGGCAUCUGGUCUGUGUCACACGCUGUCAGAUCAUGACAGGAGCAAACCACCCUUGCGAGUGCAUCAUCCACAAAAGUGUCCCUUCACGGGUGGGGGGGUUUAGCUGUCAACAAGACGAUGGAGAAGAUGCUGGGAAUGGCUCAGGCAUGGAAAAGAAGCCCCUGACCACUCUGUUUCUGCUGAACGUAGGUGAGUGAUGAGAGCAAAGACAGUCCUUACCCUGCAGGGCUCUGUCAGCAGGUAUGUGUUCAUCGGCAGACGGAGGAUGGAGGUGGGUGGGACCAGGGACCCACUCGUGGAUUCCCAGGGGAGAUGCAUGGAUGGGGUGAGGGAUGGCCCAAACAGCAGCGGGCCCCCAGCUGUGGGGCUCCAAGUGUCACCAUCACAGGGGAUGAUCAAAAGAGGGUCCAACCAAGUGUUGGGUGAGACUACAGGACCCACUUGAGAGCCCUCCUGGCUCAGCACACCGGGUGCCAAGCACCGCGACCCUCCCUGGGGUGUGCGGGGUCCGUGAAGCAAAGCCCCGAAGGUACAAAGUUCGUCAAACUUUAUUGAUACACUGCACAAUCACAACCAUCUCUUAUUCUUGCCGAAUUAGAAAAGGUUACAACUACAAUGUAACAUGCACAAAUCUCAGGUAGUAUAGCCACCCUUGGAAUACAAUGAUCGACAGAAACUCAAGACUGGCCGUCGUGGCCAUCAGCAGGAGAGACCCAGGAGCCACGCUGCCCCCGCCCUGGGCGCCUGGCCACCCCCUGGGCAUCCAAACAUGGAGAGCAGUGGUCACAAAGGGGUCUGACACCCAGCGGGGUCGGCCUCAGACAGCCAACACGUUUCUCACAAUGGCACGUUACAUGGCACGAGAAAGUCGAACGCCGUCCCGGCAGAGGACAGGGGAGCUGAGCCCACCUGACCCAGGGAGGAGAAGGAUGGGAUGGGGGGCAGCCCUGGUGCCAGGUCCGCCAGCCUCGGUGUGCGUCGUGGCGUCCCGUCGUCGCCGCCACUCUCUGGUAUGCCGUGGCCUCUGGCCCUGGGAUUCUGCAGCAUUUCUGCUGCAGGGAUGGAGAAACUUGGGGCUGACCCAGGAAGGGGCAGGGGGAGGCAGCAGGGGGCUGUUGUGGGGCAGUGCGGACCAGUGAAGGCAUCGGGGCAAGGUGUCUCCUGCACCCAAGGGUACUUCUGGAGCGGGCACGUGGGGAAGGAUGAGCGUGUCGCUGGCCGAAGACGGUGCCAUCCCCGCUCAGUAAACAUGCCCGGGCCGUGGGAGAGGACCCAGAUCGCUGCCGGUGCCACCUUCCCGGGAUGCCAGUGGAGAUGCAGAGCACCGCAGGGACCGCAGGACGCGGACUCACCCAGUCAGUGCCGGAUCCCCGUCCAUCAGGUAACCCAGCGUGUCCCGCCAGCACCAGGGCAGCCUCGGGCCAGGGGGGUUUGCCCAUCAGCCAUGGUACAUGUUGAACAUCCAGGAUGGGGGGUGGGAGCAUCCAUUGAGAUUUUGUAGCAGGUCCCGAGGCAGCCCGUUGAGAGCAGGGAUGAGGAGGGGCACAGCCGCAGAGAGGACGGGGUGGUGGCCCAUCAUGGCCUCUGGCUUGGGCUGGUUUUUUCCAUCUUGUGUGCUAAGGACUGUCACCCCAGCUUCCUCGCAGCCACACAAAGCAGGAGGAUUGGGCAGCAGCGGAGUUUGCGCAGGGAAGACAGCGUGUGCGUGGCCAUUGCCCUUAAGUCAUCUCAUUUAUGGAGGGAGAAGGGAGGGACAAGGCACAGGGAUGCGGCGGGUCUGGACAGGGGAUGCUCCGUGUGCUUGCUCAGUGCCUUGCUGUAAUCAGGUCUCCCUGCCAGAGGAAUAGGGUCUGGUGUGACAUGUGACUUUUCAGGAGCAGGAUGGGAGUGCUCAUCCUCAGACUGUGGCCCCAAAGCAUUCCUGGGUGGCCAGGGAGCUUCGGGAAGGCUCAGGGCUGCCACAGUGUACCAGGCGAGGGGGUCUGUGGUGCACGGUGCCAUCAGGAGCACAAUUCCAUAUGCAGGGAGGUGACAUGGCCACCAUCACCAGCACCUCCCAGAGUGACUGGAAGAAGAAGGGGGCAGAGUCUGGGUGCAUCCAUUUUGGUGUCACGGGCAUGUCACAGCAGGGAGGAUCAGAGCCGUUCUUGUCCCUGCUGCGCCAGCGUAGUAAAUCAACGGAGCCUGAGCUGCCUCCACAGGGUCGAACACAUCAGACUUUCCUCAGGCAGGGGCACGUGAUGGGCACAAGAGAAGGCAGCGUGAGGACGUUGCAGCUCAGGGCCCUCAGAGAGGCAGAGAUGCAGACGGUCACGAGCGUCAGAGCCGCAGCAAAAGGGCCUUGUCAGCUGGUGUUUCGCUGUGUCGUUCAGAGCCUCUGCCCUGUGUUGGUGGUGCUGUGCUUUUAAUGUGCAGGUUGGAAAGUGCUUGGAAAAAAAGCUGAGAGGAACCCCCUCAAAAAGUGCUGGCAGCACACCAGGGCAAGAGCCACAGGGCAGCCCCUGCCAUCAGGGGGGCAGCAGCAGAGUGGGCAGGGGUCUGGAGCAAGAAAGGGCGAUGGCCUGGCUGUCUGAUGCAGCAAGAAGGUUCUUAGUCCCCAUGAGGGGUUGGCGUCAUCCCCAGGGCUCACAUUCCUGGGAGAGCAGCCUUGUGCCCUUGGGAAGGCGACAGGGUUUACUGGGAAGCAGACAGGUACGAUGUUAGCUGGGAGGAAGAGUAGUGGGAAGUGCCUGACCCUUGAAGGACAACUGGUUGUGUCACCUGACCCUCUCCAAAAGGGCCAGUGAGCAUCGUGUCAGGAGCAGAGGCAGAUGAGGGGAGGCCACUGACAUCGGGGGUGCUUAGGGAGGAGCUUUGGCGACAAGAACUGACAUUCAGGACCAAGAGGGCUGAAGGCAGAGCCAGGGGGCUUCAACCUUGGGGUCUUUUUGGGCGUAGGCGGCUUAGUGAGACGACGAGACGGACAUCCCCGGUGAAGGCUCUGGGCGGCACCCGCCCCGGCGGCUCCGCGCCCCCCGCGCUGGAGACGAGGAGCACCGUCCGUGCCGGGCCACGUCCCCAGGGCGGCAGUGGCGGGUGACAGUCUGGUGGCACGUGGUGGGGUCUGUACAGCGUUAACUGGCGGCGAGAACGAUCCCGGCACGUGGGAGACAGGGCCAUCCUCGGACACUCGGCACCGCCGCCCGUCCUCCGGCGCAUCGCCCGUCCCGCGGAGAGGAGUCCCCGGGCGGCGCGGCAGGCAGGGCCCGCGGCGGGGGAGAGGCGCGCGGGGCCUCCCGGGACCCUCCGCUCCCUUAUCAAAAGUCGAGGAGGAGGAGGCGAGCGAGGAGGGUGGCCCAGAGGCAGAGGCCGGCGGCCAGCCGGGACGCCGCGUUGCCGCCGUCGUGCACCGCUCCGGGCCCUGCGCGGGGGAGAGGAGACAAAGGACAGCGGUGAGGAAGAGGCAAAGGAGAGCCCAAGAUGUUAAAUCCAAGCCCUGCCAGAAGGUAAAGAAAAUGAUGGGAAGAUUGAGUGAUGAGCAAGAAGUUGUGUCAUGCCCAUGCUCAAAAAAAAUUGAUUGUAAGAGCACAUGAUAAUACAAGAGGUGUAGAACUGCUCUGCCAUAAUCAGACAUUUCCUUGCUGAAUAGACCCUGGGAUAUAAAAGGUGGAACCUCCAGCUAUUUGUUAAGAGGCAAGUAGAGCCUUGCAGGCAGAAUGGAAAAGGGCUUUUGAGCUUGGUUUUCCCUCAGAUCUGUUGCUGCUCCCUCUUCUGUCUUUUUGUCCCUUCAAACUAAUGGCAGCAUAUCAUGUAAGCCUAUAAAAAUAAUUAAAAUCUAUGCAGACUUAAUAAUAAAUGCUGCUUAGGCUUAACCUUUUAUGUAUUUACACCUGAUCAAAUCCUGCUGAAUCUCUACCUUUCUCUAACAGUUUAUCCAUACCUUUAUCUAUAGAUGUGGAUUUUUAAUGUGUGACUAAUUCCCAUUACUGUUUUCUAGUUCACAGUUCUGCACUGGUUAUUGGCUUUGAUUUAAUGAUGCUUUUUAGAAAUCUCAUAAUCUAUCCUAAAGCAAUCACAUCCUGGUUGAGUUGGAGAGUUCCCAAAUAGAUAAGUCAGAGAGGAAAUAAACUGAAAUACUGGGUCAUAACUAAAGAAAAAAAAACCACAAAUAUUUUCUCUUAACUGUAUUCUUUGCUGAGAAAGAAUUUAUCCUGGUGUCAGACAGCUUGGCCUUGUAAAGAUUGUAAAGAUACUCUACGGGAGAGACAAGCAUAAAGAUACAGUGACAAAAUAAAGUAGUAAUUAGAGAUGAUCAUGAAAUUUAGGCAAUGUUUCAUUUCAUAAUGUGCCUCCCGUGUGUCCUGUGAACUGCCACAUUAGAUGGGAAGAGGAUGGCUCCCACCAGGACAGGGAGAGGAACUCAGGACUUCAGCUGAGCUUCCCAGCAAGUAUUUUGGCUCUGCUUUGCUAAAACCCCUGUGCCUGGGCACUGAGGUGUGAGUGUACCUGGAUUCUGGCUGCCCCUGCUCAGCUUAUUUAUUAUUGCAGAUAUUUAUUGUUGCUUGGUUUUAUUUUGUUCUUCUUGAUUUAUUUUGUGUCCUAUUUCCUCCCCAUUUCCUUCCUGCUCCAGAAGGCAACCUUAGACUCUGAGACCCUGACUCGAGUAAAGAUGGCAAGACUGGGAUUUUGUCUCUCUCAUAAGACCUUGAGUACAAAGGACUCGUGACAAACGGGAAGGGAAUGUGCCCACACCCACGGUGCUGCUGGAGCCCCUCUUUCCAAGGGGGCUCAAGGAAAAGGCAACAGCUGCUCUCCACUUCUCAUGGUCCACAACAGCAAUUAGUGAGGGAGAGUCUGGCCAAUGAUUCAUGUCUGAGGACAAAAGGAAGUCUUGGGGACUGGCUGGGGGGAAGCCUGUGCAGUGACUCAUGCCUGAGGGUAUAUGUGUCUGGACUAAGUCUUGGCAACCUCCCCAGGAUGAGAUUUUCCUGACAUUUUCCCUCAGGUAAACACAUGGUCCUUGAAGGAUUGUCUCUGCUCAUUGCAGGGGAGUUGCAGUAGAUGACCUUUAAAAGGUCCCCUCCAACUCAAACUAUGAUUCUUUGGCUCCCUCGCCCUGUUUAACAUCUCUGUUGGAGUCUUCAAAGUGGUGGCCUCUUGCACACAAAAAGGAAACACAAGUUAAUCAAGACCCAAGACUUGUCACAAACACUAAGGGAAUGGGAGCAGUGGCUGUAGGCAAGAAUUUUACAGCCUGGUAUAAUAUAUAUCUAUUAUCUGUAGCAUCUAAUAGCAUAGCCAGCAAUUAGCAUAUUAUGAAGUAGUUAAGGAAAAAACAUACAUGGAGUAAGUAGCACAAGGAGGAAGACAACUGCAGGUGUGAAAUACAGGGGUCAGGUGGAAAUAAAGUGUGAAGGAGAGAAAAAAACACAUGUAUAGUAGGCAGAGAAGACAACUGGUGAAGCCAAAGUAACCCCACAGGGUAAGAGGGAAUAUGCUGGGAAAACCCCACAAAACAAAACAACUCAGGGAAGAGGAGGUGAGUUGUCCCCUGUCCUUUCACAGGCAGAAGGAGAAGAAGAGAACACCAAUAAAUACUAAGGAAGAAGAAAUCCUACUUCAGCUCUGGCUUUCAACACCAAAAAAAGUGAAGAAGCUCUUCCCCUCCACCUGCAAAGGUGCCCAAACCCCAACCCCACACCACAACUGCUACCCCCCUCGUACCAGCACUCCCCUGUUUGAGACUCGUGGCUAAUUUAGGUCAAAUUUAUUAAAAACUCAUAAUUUACCUGUGUAUGGAUGAUGAUUAAAGCCUAACCCUGGGAGGUGAUGUGUGCUGUUGAUGACUGUCAGUCCAGUAAAGCCUGGUUUAAAGUUUCAAA